AUUGAACGCUGGCGGCAGGCCUAACACAUGCAAGUCGGGCGAGCUGCGGACGGGUGCGUAAUGUAUGGGGACUGCCUGAUGGCGGGGGAUAACUACUGGAAACGGUAGCUAAUACCGCAUACCAUCAGCUAACCCAUAUGGGAUUAGCUAGUAGGUAAGGUAACGGCUUACCUAGGCGAUGAUCCCUAGCUGGUCUGAGAGGAUGAUCAGGAAAAAUGGGACUAGGACACAGCCCAGACUGCAAGGGAGGAAGCAGUGGGGAAUAUGGCACAAUGGGCGAAAGCCUGAUGCAGCCAUGCCGGGUGUAGGAAGAAGGCCCUAGGGUUGUAAAGUACUUUCAGUCGGGAGGCGUGACCGACAGAAGAAGCACCGGCUAACUCCGUGCCAGCAGCCGCGGUAAUAC
rnacentral:rRNA from 1 species